rnacentral:rRNA from 1 species
UGCAGUCGAGCGAAUGGAUUGAGAGCUUGCUCUCAAGAAGUUAGCGGCGGACGGGUGAGUAACACGUGGGUAACCUGCCCAUAAGACUGGGAUAACUCCGGGAAACCGGGGCUAAUACCGGAUAACAUUUUGAACUGCAUGGUUCGAAAUUGAAAGGCGGCUUCGGCUGUCACUUAUGGAUGGACCCGCGUCGCAUUAGCUAGUUGGUGAGGUAACGGCUCACCAAGGCAACGAUGCGUAGCCGACCUGAGAGGGUGAUCGGCCACACUGGGACUGAGACACGGCCCAGACUCCUACGGGAGGCAGCAGUAGGGAAUCUUCCGCAAUGGACGAAAGUCUGACGGAGCAACGCCGCGUGAGUGAUGAAGGCUUUCGGGUCGUAAAACUCUGUUGUUAGGGAAGAACAAGUGCUAGUUGAAUAAGCUGGCACCUUGACGGUACCUAACCAGAAAGCCACGGCUAACUACGUGCCAGCAGCCGCGGUAAUACGUAGGUGGCAAGCGUUAUCCGGAAUUAUUGGGCGUAAAGCGCGCGCAGGUGGUUUCUUAAGUCUGAUGUGAAAGCCCACGGCUCAACCGUGGAGGGUCAUUGGAAACUGGGAGACUUGAGUGCAGAAGAGGAAAGUGGAAUUCCAUGUGUAGCGGUGAAAUGCGUAGAGAUAUGGAGGAACACCAGUGGCGAAGGCGACUUUCUGGUCUGUAACUGACACUGAGGCGCGAAAGCGUGGGGA